rnacentral:rRNA from 1 species
AGAGUUUGAUCCUGGCUCAGGAUGAACGCUGGCGGUAUGCCUAACACAUGCAAGUCGUACGAGAGUUUUUAACUCUAGUGGCGGACGGGUGAGUAACACGUGAGAAUUUACCUUUAGGAGGGGGAUAACAAUUGGAAACGAAUGCUAAUACCCCAUAUGCUUCAGAGUGAAAUGGAUUUAUAUUUAUCCGCCUAAAGAGAAGCUCGCGGCUGAUUAGCUUGUUGGUAAGGUAAGAGCUUACCAAGGCGACGAUCAGUAUCUGGUUUGAGAGGACGAUCAGACACACUGGAACUGAGACACGGUCCAGACUCCUACGGGAGGCAGCAGUGGGGAAUUUUCCGCAAUGGGCGAAAGCCUGACGGAGCAAUACCGCGUGAGGGAAGACUGCCUAUGGGUUGUAAACCUCUUUUUUCAGGGAGGAAUAAAAUGACGUGUACCUGAAGAAUAAGCAUCGGCUAACUCCGUGCCAGCAGCCGCGGUAAGACGGAGGAUGCAAGUGUUAUCCGGAAUCACUGGGCGUAAAGCGUCUGUAGGUGGUUUAAUAAGUCAACUGUUAAAUCUUGAGGCUCAACUUCAAAAUCGCAGUCGAAACUAUUAGACUAGAGUAUAGUAGAGGUAAAGGGAAUUUCCAGUGGAGCGGUGAAAUGCGUAGAUAUUGGAAAGAACACCGAUGGCGAAAGCACUUUACUGGGCUAUUACUAACACUCAGAGACGAAAGCUAGGGUAGCAAAUGGGAUUAGAUACCCCAGUAGUCCUAGCCGUAAACUAUGGAUACUAGAUGUUGAACAGAUCGACCUGUGCAGUAUCAAAGCUAACGCGUUAAGUAUCCCGCCUGGGAAGUAUGCUCGCAAGAGUGAAACUCAAAGGAAUUGACGG